rnacentral:lncRNA from 1 species
AACUUAAUCUUGUACUUAUAAUAUUUUUAUUAUCAGUAAAAGAUUUUUUUAUUCUAAUCAUAUUUAUGUGUCCAUGAUUUAUCCUAAAAAUUAACAAAGAUAAUUUUUUAAAUAUUCUCAAAGUGUUGAGAAUUUGAGAUAUAUAUUAAUUAGUGAUUAAUUUCUAAAUAUUUUCAAUCAAAGGAUCAUCACAGAGGACAGUGAUCAAUCCAUUCA